rnacentral:tRNA from 1 species
GUCUUCGUGGCUCAGUCGGUAGAGCGUUGGUCUCAUAUCAUGGUCAUAUGACUUCAUCCAAGGUGAAGACAUCCAAAGGUCGAGAGUUCGAGCCUCUCCGAGGACA